rnacentral:rRNA from 1 species
ACUCCUACGGGAGGCAGCAGUGGGGAAUAUUGGACAAUGGGCGCAAGCCUGAUCCAGCAAUGCCGCGUGAGUGAUGAAGGCCUUAGGGUUGUAAAGCUCUUUCGCACGCGACGAUGAUGACGGUAGCGGAGAAGAA